rnacentral:piRNA from 1 species
UGGGAACAGUAAAAAGCCACAUCUGAAA